rnacentral:rRNA from 1 species
UUUAUGGAGAGUUUGAUCCUGGCUCAGGAUGAACGCUGGCGGCGUGCCUAAUACAUGCAAGUCGAGCGAACGGACGAGAAGCUUGCUUCUCUGAUGUUAGCGGCGGACGGGUGAGUAACACGUGGAUAACCUACCUAUAAGACUGGGAUAACUUCGGGAAACCGUAGCUAAUACCGGAUAAUAUUUUGAACCGCAUGGUUCAAAAGUGAAAGACGGUCUUGCUGUCACUUAUAGAUGGAUCCGCGCUGCAUUAGCUAGUUGGUAAGGUAACGGCUUACCAAGGCAACGAUGCAUAGCCGACCUGAGAGGGUGAUCGGCCACACUGGAACUGAGACACGGUCCAGACUCCUACGGGAGGCAGCAGUAGGGAAUCUUCCGCAAUGGGCGAAAGCCUGACGGAGCAACGCCGCGUGAGUGAUGAAGGUCUUCGGAUCGUAAAACUCUGUUAUUAGGGAAGAACAUAUGUGUAAGUAACUGUGCACAUCUUGACGGUACCUAAUCNGGNNGGCNCGGNUGGGUGUGUANUAGGNANCNGCGGUAAUACGUAGGUGGCAAGCGUUAUCCGGAAUUAUUGGGCGUAAAGCGCGCGUAGGCGGUUUUUUAAGUCUGAUGUGAAAGCCCACGGCUCAACCGUGGAGGGUCAUUGGAAACUGGAAAACUUGAGUGCAGAAGAGGAAAGUGGAAUUCCAUGUGUAGCGGUGAAAUGCGCAGAGAUAUGGAGGAACACCAGUGGCGAAGGCGACUUUCUGGUCUGUAACUGACGCUGAUGUGCGAAAGCGUGGGGAUCAAACAGGAUUAGAUACCCUGGUAGUCCACGCCGUAAACGAUGAGUGCUAAGUGUUAGGGGGUUUCCGCCCCUUAGUGCUGCAGCUAACGCAUUAAGCACUCCGCCUGGGGAGUACGACCGCAAGGUUGAAACUCAAAGGAAUUGACGGGGACCCGCACAAGCGGUGGAGCAUGUGGUUUAAUUCGAAGCAACGCGAAGAACCUUACCAAAUCUUGACAUCCUUUGACAACUCUAGAGAUAGAGCCUUCCCCUUCGGGGGACAAAGUGACAGGUGGUGCAUGGUUGUCGUCAGCUCGUGUCGUGAGAUGUUGGGUUAAGUCCCGCAACGAGCGCAACCCUUAAGCUUAGUUGCCAUCAUUAAGUUGGGCACUCUAAGUUGACUGCCGGUGACAAACCGGAGGAAGGUGGGGAUGACGUCAAAUCAUCAUGCCCCUUAUGAUUUGGGCUACACACGUGCUACAAUGGACAAUACAAAGGGCAGCGAAACCGCGAGGUCAAGCAAAUCCCAUAAAGUUGUUCUCAGUUCGGAUUGUAGUCUGCAACUCGACUACAUGAAGCUGGAAUCGCUAGUAAUCGUAGAUCAGCAUGCUACGGUGAAUACGUUCCCGGGUCUUGUACACACCGCCCGUCACACCACGAGAGUUUGUAACACCCGAAGCCGGUGGAGUAACCUUUUAGGAGCUAGCCGUCGAAGGUGGGACAAAUGAUUGGGGUGAAGUCGUAACAAGGUAGCCGUAUCGGAAGGUGCGGCUGGAUCACCUCCUUU